rnacentral:rRNA from 1 species
UACGGGGGGGCAAGCGUUGUUCGGAAUUACUGGGCGUAAAGGGCUCGUAGGCGGCCAACUAAGUCAGACGUGAAAUCCCUCGGCUUAACCGGGGAACUGCGUCUGAUACUGGAUGGCUUGAGGUUGGGAGAGGGAUGCGGAAUUCCAGGUGUAGCGGUGAAUGCGUAGAUAUCUGGAGGAACACCGGUGGCGAAGGCGGCAUCCUGGACCAAUUCUGACGCUGAGACGCGAAAGCGUUGGGGAGCAAACAGGAUAGAAACC